rnacentral:rRNA from 1 species
GAUCAUGGCUCAGGAUGAACGCUAGCGACAGGCUUAACACAUGCAAGUCGAGGGGCAGCACGAUGUAGCAAUACAUUGGUGGCGACCGGCGCACGGGUGAGUAACGCGUAUGCAACCUACCUAUCAGAGGGGAAUAACCCGGCGAAAGUCGGACUAAUACCGCAUAAAACAGGGGUUCCACAUGGAAAUAUUUGUUAAAGAAUUAUCGCUGAUAGAUGGGCAUGCGUUCCAUUAG